rnacentral:rRNA from 1 species
GACGAACGCUGGCGGCGUGCUUAACACAUGCAAGUCGAACGGAAAGGCCCUGCUUUUGUGGGGUGCUCGAGUGGCGAACGGGUGAGUAACACGUGAGUAACCUGCCCUUGACUUUGGGAUAACUUCAGGAAACUGGGGCUAAUACCGGAUAGGAGCUCCUGCUGCAUGGUGGGGGUUGGAAAGUUUCGGCGGUUGGGGAUGGACUCGCGGCCUAUCAGCUUGUUGGUGGGGUAGUGGCUUACCAAGGCUUUGACGGGUAGCCGGCCUGAGAGGGUGACCGGCCACAUUGGGACUGAGAUACGGCCCAGACUCCUACGGGAGGCAGCAGUGGAGAAUAUUGCACAAUGGGCGGAAGCCUGAUGCAGCAACGCCGCGUGCGGGAUGACGGCCUUCGGGUUGUAAACCGCUUUCGCCUGUGACGAAGCGUGAGUGACGGUAAUGGGUAAAGAAGCACCGGCUAACUACGUG